rnacentral:rRNA from 1 species
GACGAACGCUGGCGGCGUGCUUAACACAUGCAAGUCGAACGAUGACGACCGAGCUUGCUCGGUCUGAUUAGUGGCGAUCGGGUGAGUAACACGUGAGCAACCUGCCCUUCACUCUGGGAUAACCUCGGGAAAUCGGGGCUAAUACCGGAUAUGAGCUCCUGUCGCAUGGCGGGUGUUGGAAAGUUUUUCGGUGAAGGAUGGGCUCGCGGCCUAUCAGUUUGUUGGUGAGGUAGUGGCUCACCAAGGCGAUGACGGGUAGCCGGCCUGAGAGGGCGACCGGCCACACUGGGACUGAGACACGGCCCAGACUCCUACGGGAGGCAGCAGUGGGGAAUAUUGCACAAUGGGCGAAAGCCUGAUGCAGCGACGCCGCGUGAGGGAUGACGGCCUUCGGGUUGUAAACCUCUUUCAGCAGGGAAGAAGCGAAAGUGACGGUACCUGCAGAAGAAGCGCCGGCUAACUACGUG